rnacentral:rRNA from 1 species
AUGAACGCUGGCGGCGUGCCUAAUACAUGCAAGUCGAGCGAACGGACGAGAAGCUUGCUUCUCUGAUGUUAGCCGCGGACGGGUGAGUAACACGUGGAUAACCUACCUAUAAGACUGGGAUAACUUCGGGAAACCGGAGCUAAUACCGGAUAAUAUUUUGAACCGCAUGGUUCAAAAGUGAAAGACGGUCUUGCUGUCACUUAUAGAUGGAUCCGCGCUGCAUUAGCUAGUUGGUAAGGUAACGGCUUACCAAGGCAACGAUGCAUAGCCGACCUGAGAGGGUGAUCGGCCACACUGGAACUGAGACACGGUCCAGACUCCUACGGGAGGCAGCAGUAGGGAAUCUUCCGCAAUGGGCGAAAGCCUGACGGAGCAACGCCGCGUGAGCGAUGAAGGUCUUCGGAUCGUAAAACUCUGUUAUUAGGGAAGAACAUAUGUGUAAGUAACUGUGCACAUCUUGACGGUACCUAAUCAGAAAGCCACGGCUAACUACGUG